rnacentral:misc_RNA from 1 species
GAUGAAGAACGUAGCGAAAUGCGAUAAGUAGUGUGAAUUGCAGAAUUCAGUGAAUCAUCGAAUCUUUGAACGCACAUUGCGCCCCUUGGUAUCCCGAGGGGCAUGCCUGUUCGAGCGUCAUUUCACCACUCAAGCCUGGCUUGGUGUUGGGCGACGUCCUCUUUGGGGACGCGCCUCGAAACGCUCGGCGGCGUGGCACCGGCUUUAAGCGUAGCAGAAUCUUUCGCUUUGGAAGUCGGGGCCCCGUCUGCCGGAAGACCUGCUCGCAAGGUUGACCUCGGAUCAGGCAGAGAUACCCGCUGAACUUAAGCAUAUCAAUAAGCGGAGGA